GACGAACGCUGGCGGCGUGCUUAACACAUGCAAGUCGAACGGGUCCUUCGGGACUAGUGGCGGACGGGUGAGUAACGCGUGGGAACGUGCCCCUUGGUACGGAAUAGCCCCGGGAAACUGGGAGUAAUACCGUAUGUGGUCGAGAGACGAAAGAUUUAUCGCCAAGGGAUCGGCCCGCGUUGGAUUAGGUAGUUGGUGGGGUAAUGGCCUACCAAGCCGACGAUCCAUAGCUGGUUUGAGAGGAUGAUCAGCCACACUGGGACUGAGACACGGCCCAGACUCCUACGGGAGGCAGCAGUGGGGAAUCUUAGACAAUGGGGGAAACCCUGAUCUAGCCAUGCCGCGUGAUCGAUGAAGGCCUUAGGGUUGUAAAGAUCUUUCAGGUGGGAAGAUAAUGA
rnacentral:rRNA from 1 species